GACGAACGCUGGCGGCGUGCUUAACACAUGCAAGUCGAACGGAAGGGCCCGGCGUUUGUUGCGUGCUCGAUUGGCGCACGGGGGAGUAACACGUGAGUAACCUCCCCUUGACAGUGGGAUAAAUUCAGGAAACAGGGGCGAAUACCGGAGAGGAGCUCCUGCAGCAUGUGGGGGGUUGGAAAGUGUCGGCGGUGGUGGAUGGAAUCGCUGGUUAUCAGCUUGUUUGGGGGGUAGGUGCUGACCAAGGCUAUGAAGGGUAGCCGGCCUGAGAGCGUGACCGGCCACCUUAGGCCUGCGAUACGCCCCAGAAUCCUACCGGAGGCAGCAGUGGGGAGUAUUGCACAAUGGGCGGAAGCCUGAUGCAGCAACGUUCCGUGCGGGAUACCGGCUUUCGGGUUGUAAACAGAUUUCGAAGUUGCCGAAGCGUGCGUGACGGUACUGGGUCAAGAAGCCCCGGCUAACUACGUG
rnacentral:rRNA from 1 species